GAACUGCUGCACAUAGUACAAAGUCCUAGGUUGAAACCAGCGAGUCAGCCAGGGAGAAAACAACUUUAACCUAUUCUCAAACCUUAAAUGAGUGAGAAGCUUAACGCGCCUAAAUGGAGUUUUGAAAUGAAUGUGAGUGCCAAAGUGGGACAUUUUUGAUAAGCAGAACUGGCGCUGUGAGAUAAACCAAACGUGUGGUUAAGGUGCCUAACGCGACACUCAUGAGAUACCACAAAAGUUGUUGAUUGGUCUAGACAGCAGGAUAGUGACCAUGGAAAUUUGAAACAGCUGAGCAUGUAACAACUCGUCUGCCGAAUCAAUCACCCCUCAAAACAGAUGGAGUUGCACGGAGAUGAGUGCAUGUUGGAUCUUCCAUUCAGUGUAAGCACAGCGCAAUAACGCAACAGAAGUCGGAAGCGUCGCUGCAAAUAGAAGGGUA
rnacentral:ncRNA from 1 species